UACGUAGGGUGCAGGCGUUGUCCGGAAUUAUUGGGCGUAAAGAGCUCGUAGGCGGUUUGUUGCGUCGGCUGUGAAAUCCCGAGGCUCAACCUCGGGUCUGCAGUCGAUACGAGCAAACUAGAGUGUUGCAGGGGAGACUGGAAUUCCUGGUGUAGCGGUGAAAUGCGCAGAUAUCAGGAGGAACACCGGUGGCGAAGGCGGGUCUCUGGGCCGAUACUGACGCUGGAGGAGCGAAAGCCGUGGGGAGCGAACAGG
rnacentral:rRNA from 1 species